GAUGAACGCUGGCGGCGUGCCUAAUACAUGCAAGUCGAGCGAACAGACGAGGAGCUUGCUCCUCUGACGUUAGCGGCGGACGGGUGAGUAACACGUGGAUAACCUACCUAUAAGACUGGGAUAACUUCGGGAAACCGGAGCUAAUACCGGAUAAUAUAUUGAACCGCAUGGUUCAAUAGUGAAAGACGGUUUUGCUGUCACUUAUAGAUGGAUCCGCGCCGCAUUAGCUAGUUGGUAAGGUAACGGCUUACCAAGGCAACGAUGCGUAGCCGACCUGAGAGGGUGAUCGGCCACACUGGAACUCAGACACGGUCCAGACUCCUACGGGAGGCACCAGUAGGGAAUCUUCCGCAAUGGGCGAAAGCCUGACGGAGCAACGCCGCGUGAGUGAUGAAGGUCUUCGGAUCGUAAAACUCUGUUAUUAGGGAAGAACAAAUGUGUAAGUAACUAUGCACGUCUUGACGGUACCUAAUCAGAAAGCCACGGCUAACUACGUG
rnacentral:rRNA from 1 species